UGAGCAAUCUGCCCUUCUCUUUGGAAUAAGCGUUGGAAACGACGUCUAAUGCCGAAUACGACCUCCUUUCGCGUGAUCGGAGGUGAAAAGCUCCGGCGGAGAAGGAUGAGCUCGCGGCCUAUCAGCUAGUUGGUGUGGGUAAUGGCCCACCCAGGCGACGACGGGUAGCCGGCCUGAGAGGGUGUCCGGCCACACUGGGACUGAGAUACGGCCCAGACUCCUACGGGAGGCAGCAGG
rnacentral:rRNA from 1 species